CCCGCUGAACUUAAGCAUAUCAAUAAGCGGAGGAAAAGAAACCAACAGGGAUUGCCUUAGUAACGGCGAGUGAAGCGGCAAAAGCUCAAAUUUGAAAUCGGCCCCCAGGUCGAGUUGUAAUUUGUAGAUUGUAUCUUGAGAGCGGAUUAAAGUCUGUUGGAACACAGCGCCUUAGAGGGUGACAGCCCCGUAAAAUCUAUUCUCAUUGUAAGAUACUUUCGAAGAGUCGAGUUGUUUGGGAAUGCAGCUCUAAGUGGGAGGUAAAUUCCUUCUAAAGCUAAAUA
rnacentral:rRNA from 1 species